CAGUGUAGAUGGAAGUCUGCUCUAGCUCUGAGACACCCAUUUGGAGGGGUUAACAUAGCUCAGCUCAGAAGUAUAUUUCUGGCUGGGAAUGUGGUACAGCUCUGAAGCUUGAUGUAGAUUGGAAUUUAAUUCAGUUCAAGAGUUUAUGCUCAUGUCAGCAAGGGGAGCCUAUGCCAGUUUCAGAGGCGCAUCACGGGUUAAGAAUUCAGCCCAAAGUAAGAUCUAGAGCUGGCUACCUAUGAAAGGCGUUGUUCGCAUCUCCUAUUGGUGCUCAUUGGGAACCUCUAUUGGAUAAGAGCAGUGGAGCAGCCAAUGAUGGAGAACGUGAAUUACAGCCAUUCAGAAGGUUGCAUCGAAUGCACCAGACACCUUUUGAAUAUGCCUUAUUCCUGGCCAAGAACAAUGGGUCUGGGGGACUGAGAUCUGCGGGAGGAGGUUUGAUCCAGCUCUAGAGCCGUGGAGUGAUUUGAAAAACAAACCAAGCCAAACAGUUAUACUCUAAGGGCCAGACUUGCAUGUGGGGCUCCAGGACUGGACGAGCAAGGGAUGCUGCGGCUCAAGAUUGAGGCAGAUUUGUGUGGCAGCCCAAGAAUGCAUUAGCAGACGACACUGCAGGCCAGCUGCCAGCUUCCAUUUGGAAAACUUCUAGCAUUCAAUAAUAGUCUUUGGAAACUAGCAUUAAAACUCAGCGGCACUCCAAGGAGCGAAUGUACUGUGUCCUGCAAUGAAUUGAUUUAAUUAAAAAGUCACUAAUUCAUACAAAUAUCUAAGGGCCAUAAUAAUUAAAAUAUCUGACUUUGGUGUUGAAAAUCAAUAAGAGUUCCUUCUGGUUACACUGUGAGUGCUGCGAUUUCAGUGCAGACGCUGCACAACGCCAAAGGCUCUCCAUGGAAUCCAUCCCUAGCUGCGUAAGAGAGUUUAAGCCAACUUUACAGUGAAGUUACAAGAAUGAAUUAGAAAGUGUAAACCCUUUGCUGCGUGCUGGCAAUGGAUUCUGGGAAGAAGCUGCCAUUCCGGGUGAUAUUUCACAGCAACUGUGCACGCCUGAAUCGGCCAGAUCCUCAAGCACAUGCUAGAAAACCCACUCCCAAGAAAUAAAGUGAGAUCUAAGAUUUCUAUGUGCAGGUUCCCCCCCCACUUUCCGUCACACCAUCCCAUGGAACAUCAGGGGUUGCUUUUUCCUCGCCUUCGCCACUGGUGUCUUACUGGGAGUGGCUGAUCUCUGCGGGAGAAUAGGGCGGCAGCCACUAGAGAUGGGCUCAGAACCUUGGAUUCAGAUCUCAGCUUCCCCCAGUCUGGCUGUAUUUAGGCCUAUGGGCUUUGGUCUGGGCCUAUCUCACGCAGUAACCUGCAGGAAAAGUGGCCCCUGUCAUGAUUUCACUUUUUAAAUAUCACUUGUAAAAACACUGCCUGGAAUGACCUCAAUUACAACUCUCCAGAUUGCUCCUGGGCUCAUAUUUUCCAAAUCCCUUAUUAAGACAAUGAAUAUACAUAACCCUGUUUAAGUAAGCCUAUUGCUCAUCAUUACACCCAUGGUAGAUUAACUUCCACUGACAAGACAUGCCCUCCUCAGCAUAAAGAAUAUAUUGUUAUCCAAUUAGUAUUUAACCAAUAUUUCAUGCACGUUGGCAGAUCCAGGCUUACGGAAAAAGCCAUCAUUUCCCCCACAAUAUCUAAUUUU